UACGUAGGGUGCAAGCGUUGUCCGGAAUUAUUGGGCGUAAAGAGCUCGUAGGCGGUUUGUCGCGUCUGCUGUGAAAACCCGAGGCUCAACCUCGGGCCUGCAGUGGGUACGGGCAGACUAGAGUGCGGUAGGGGAGAUUGGAAUUCCUGGUGUAGCGGUGGAAUGCGCAGAUAUCAGGAGGAACACCAAUGGCGAAGGCAGAUCUCUGGACCGAGACUGACGCUGAGGCGCGAAAGCGUGGGGAGCAAACAGG
rnacentral:rRNA from 1 species